AAAUAUUUCAGUGUACGGUCACACUGAUAUCUUUAGCAGAAAAAGAGCAAUGGUGCUACAGAGCUUGCAAAGUCUGCAACUCCACAUUAAUACUAGGCAAUGAUGGAUAUGACUGCACAAAAGAUGGCUGCUCAUGCAAGCAAUAUGAUUGGAAGUACAAAGUUUGUUUCAUUGCAGCAGAUGACACUUACAGCCUUCAAUUCAUGUUUUUCGAGAAAAAAGGGGUAGAACUCAUUGGAAAAAGUGCAGAGACCCUAAGGAAAAGGUAUGAUCCAAGCUCUAUUCCACCUGAAAUAGCACAAUGGAUUGGCCAUAAAUUCACUUUCAUAGUGAAAGUGCUAUUCAAAAGAAGUAUCAAAAGCAUUGAGCCUUCUUUUGAGGUGGUUAUGAUUAAAGAAAGACAUGGAAAACAAGCAACAUUACCAAACAUCAUACACGAUGUAUCAGAUGAAGAUCUGCCACCACUGGUAACAAUAUCAUCAAAGAAAAAGAUCGAACAGGCAUCAUUAUCAUGCACUCCUCAAUUCACAGAUAUACAAGACAUGGACAUAGACCAACAAUCUCAUGCUUGGGAUACCACAGAGAAA